AUUGAACGCUGGCGGCAUGCCUUACACAUGCAAGUCGAACGGCAGCACGGGAGCUUGCUCCUGGUGGCGAGUGGCGAACGGGUGAGUAAUAUAUCGGAACGUACCCUAGAGUGGGGGAUAACGCAGCGAAAGUUGCGCUAAUACCGCAUACGAUCUACGGAUGAAAGUGGGGGAUCGCAAGACCUCAUGCUCAUGGAGCGGCCGAUAUCUGAUUAGCUAGUUGGUGGGGUAAAGGCCUACCAAGGCUUCGAUCAGUAGCUGGUCUGAGAGGACGACCAGCCACACUGGAACUGAGACACGGUCCAGACUCCUACGGGAGGCAGCAGUGGGGAAUUUUUGGGACAAUGGGCGGCAAGCCUGAUCCAGCAAUGCCGCGUGCAGGAUGAAGGCCUUCGGUU
rnacentral:rRNA from 1 species